CUUCAAUUUAAAAGUUUGAUCAUGGCUCAGAUUGAACGCUGGCGGCAGGCCUAACACAUGCAAGUCGAACGGUAACAG
rnacentral:rRNA from 1 species